CCCUUAGAUGUCCGGGGCUGCACGCGCGCUACACUGAAGGAAUCAGCGUGCUAAAACCAUUGUCGAGAGGCAUUGGUAAACCCAUUAAAAUCCUACGUGAUUGGGAUCGGGAAUUGCAAUUAUUUCCCUUGAACGAGGAAUUCCCAGUAAGUGUGGGUCAUAAGCUCGCGUUGAUUACGUCCCUGCCCUUUGUACACACCGCCCGUCGCUGCCCGGGACUGAGCCGUUUCGAGAAAAGCGGGGACUGCUGCUGUCGGGGCUUUCGGGCCUUGGCUUCGGUGGAAACCGCUUUAAUCGCAGUGGCUUGAACCGGGCAAAAGUCGUAACA
rnacentral:rRNA from 1 species